AGAGCGAACGCUGGCGGCAGGCCUAACACAUGCAAGUCGAGCGCCCGUAGCAAUACGGGAGCGGCAGACGGGAUAGUAACACGUGGGAACGCGCCCUUCGGUUCGGAAUAACUCAGGGAAACUUGAGCUAAUACCGAAUACGCCCUUACGGGGAAAGAUUUAUUGCCGAAGGAACGGCCCGCGUCCGAUUAGCUAGUUGGUGAGGUAAUGGCUCACCAAGGCUACGAUCGGUAGCUGGUCUGAGAGGAUGACCAGCAUCACUGGGACUGAGACACGGCCCAGACUCCUACGGGAGGCAGCAGUGGGGAAUAUUGGACAAUGGGCGCAAGCCUGAUCCAGCCAUGCCGCGUGGAUGAUGAAGGCCUUAGGGUUGUAAAGUCCUUUUAACGGGAAGAUAAUGACGGUACCGUAGAAUAAGCCCGGCUAACUUCGUGCCAGCAGCCGC
rnacentral:rRNA from 1 species